CGGCAGUUUGGCUCAUGGGAUAAUGUACCUGUCCUCAUUUUUUCAGGUUGCCUUGCCCAUUCUGGACACUUUGAUUGUAAGAAUAUUGGAAACAAAGCGAGGAGCUGGUUUAAUACAUGCGGGUUGCGUUGAGGAUUUCCUAGGAAAACCAAGGAGGAAGGAAAAACUGGACCUCAUGGAUUUACUUUAGGAAGGUACAAAGCCUGAGAAGCUUAAGGUAUUUCAGUCUGUUUUAUAUUACUCACUUGCAAAAAGCAGGCUCAUCGAAUACAGGUGAGUUUCAACACGUCUUGAAUACGGCAGCAUUUAAAAGUCUUUAGACUGGGCAUGGUGACUCAUGCCUGUAAUCCCAGCACUUUGGGAGGCCAAGGUGGGAGGAUCAUUUGAGGCCAGGAGUUCGAGACCAGUCUGCUAAGCAUAGCAAGACCCCUUCUCUACAAAAAGUAAGCAAAUUAGCUAGGUGUGGUGGUGUGUUCCUGUAGUUCCAGCUGCUUGGGUGGCUGAGGCAGGCAGAUCGCCUGAGCACAGGAGUUGGGGGCUGCAGUGAGCUA
rnacentral:lncRNA from 1 species